GAUUUGCUUCGGUAAUGACGUUAGGAAAGCGGGCGGCGGAUGGGUGAGUAACACGUGGGGAAUCUGCCCCAUAGUCUGGGAUACCACUUGGAAACAGGUGCUAAUACCGGAUAAGAAAGCAGAUCGCAUGAUCAGCUUUUAAAAGGCGGCGUAAGCUGUCGCUAUGGGAUGGCCCCGCGGUGCAUUAGCUAGUUGGUAAGGUAAAGGCUUACCAAAGCGAUGAUGCAUAGCCGAGUUGAGAGACUGAUCGGCCACAUUGGGACUGAGACACGGCCCAAACUCCUACGGGAGGCAGCAGUAGGGAAUCUUCCACAAUGGACGCAAGUCUGAUGGAGCAACGCCGCGUGAGUGAAGAAGGUUUUCGGAUCGUAAAGCUCUGUUGUUGGUGAAGAAGGAUAGAGGUAGUAACUGGCCUUUAUUUGACGGUAAUCAACCAGAAAGUCACGGCUAACUACGUGCCAGCAGCCGCGGUAAUACGUAGGUGGCAAGCGUUGUCCGGAUUUAUUGGGCGUAAAGCGAGCGCAGGCGGAAGAAUAAGUCUGAUGUGAAAGCCCUCGGCUUAACCGAGGAACUGCAUCGGAAACUGUUUUUCUUGAGUGCAGAAGAGGAGAGUGGAACUCCAUGUGUAGCGGUGGAAUGCGU
rnacentral:rRNA from 1 species